CGACCGCGACCCCAGGUCAGCGGGACUACCCGCUGAGUUNAAGCAUAUC
rnacentral:rRNA from 1 species